CUUUCCUGAUAGUUGUUGUCCUGGUUUUCAAUGGAAUAACAAUACAGAAAACUGUACAGCAUGUGAAUCCAGGUUCUCGGGAAUAAGAUGCUCGAGAAAGUGUGUGUAUCCAAGUUAUGGAUUGAAGUGUGAACAGUUGUGUGCUUGUUCCAAUGAUAUAUGUAAUUUUAUAUCAGGCUGUAAUGAAAGUUCAACAGUAAAGGCGUACACAAAAGAAGGAAGCGUCCGUUCACCCUACAUCCGUAUUGCAGUCUCACAAUACACAGCUACAUACGGCUCGUUUACCACUCCAGUUCUUGCAAAGCAACAGCAACUUGUUUCUAUCACAGUCAUCUAAAUCAGUAGAUUUAAUUCAAAUUAAGCAGCAUUGCACAAAAAGGAUGGACAGGAUUUGCCAAAGACAAUCACAUCCCCAGACUUUUCAACAGCUGACCAAAGUUCUACAUUUGGAGUGGUAGAGUAUUCCUAUACAGUUUUUAUUACGCAUGUUUGCUUCAAUUAGAUGCCGUUUGUGACUAUCAUAGGUGUCUACAGGGGGCAUACCAUUUAUUAAUCUUUAAUGGUCUUAA